GAGUUUGGCUCUCAGAAGGGCUAUGCAUGGCUUCUGACACCUGCUAUGCACUCCUCUAAAUUCUCUGUCCUUGACCUUGAAUGUCCCUCUUUGCCCAUGGUGUUUAAGUUUCCUUCUUUGGCCACUUGAUCUUCUGAGCUCUUAACAUUAAACUUGAGUGUGUCCUCUGCAUUCGCUCAACAUUUACAUUUUGCCAUUCUGUCUGUCGUCUUCUUGGUCUGACCUCGGUCUCAAGCUCUGUUCCGACCGACUCAGUAGUAAGCUGUGUAUGACAUCGUAUCACUAAAGCGCCUGGACUACCACUUCAACGUGCAGAUAAUUUCAGUUACCAUGUCAACCGCGGCUGGGAAGCAGAUGGACGUCCUCUGACGACAACUCAGAUGGUCAAUAGCAGCCUCGCUCCACGUCACUCCACGUCACAACGCCUGCGUCAUUCACCUCCCCGGUCUCCUCUCCUGGGCAUGUUCUCUCACACCAUCUAAGAAGGCAAUAAAGAGUAGUUACAGUAAGAAGCACAAAUAUGGCAAAGCUGGACAUGAUGGAGAUUAUUACAGUCAUGGAGUAUGUAGGUGAGACAGAGAAGGAGGAAGAGGAAGAGGAAGGCAAGUCUGGAAUGUCCACGCUCGGCUUUGAGGAUGUCAUGGGUGGGAAUGCUUCGCCCUUGGUCAACCACGAUCCAGAGGCAAAUGCUCCUCCGACGCACCGUGGGAAGGUCACAGGAAGCCUCCCAUUACGUCUUCACACCUGCAUCACUCAGCCUCACUGUGUCUCAUCUCGUAAGCAUUUUCUCAUCUCACAUCAUCACAAGAGGGGAAAAAUCUGAAGGAGUCUGAAGGAAGUGUCAAUGAAAACUAAGUGACUGAGGCUGUCCUCACUAGAAAUUCUAAAUUUCUCAAGAAGACCAGCCAGCAAGGAGGCAGUGCACAUUUCUUCAGAUAUGCCAGAGUGACACACGGUGACCCAUCUGCCCCCCUGAUGGGAGAUUCUCCCAACUUAGUCUAAGCUCACGGGUUGUGGACUCUUGACAACCGACACAGACUGACUGCUCUCAGGUUACUUGAUUCUAACCAGCAAUGACUGAUAGAGUUGAAGUGAAAGCAAAUAAAAACAAACAAAAAGAAUCACACAGGAGCAGGUGAAAUGAUUUCAUCUAAAUUUGGUUG